rnacentral:rRNA from 1 species
AUGAACGCUGGCGGCGUGCCUAAUACAUGCAAGUCGAGCGAACAGACGAGGAGCUUGCUCCUCUGACGUUAGCGGCGGACGGGUGAGUAACACGUGGAUAACCUACCUAUAAGACUGGGAUAACUUCGGGAAACCGGAGCUAAUACCGGUAAAAUAAUUGAACCGCCUGGUUUAAUAUGUAAAAACGGUUUUGUGUUCCCUUUAUAAUGGACCCCCGCCCCAUUAGCUAGUUGGUAAGGUAACGGCUUACCAAGGCAACGAUGCGUAGCCGACCUGAGAGGGUGAUCGGCCACACUGGAACUGAGACACGGUCCAGACUCCUACGGGAGGCAGCAGUAGGGAAUCUUCCGCAAUGGGCGAAAGCCUGACGGAGCAACGCCGCGUGAGUGAUGAAGGUCUUCGGAUCGUAAAACUCUGUUAUUAGGGAAGAACAAAUGUGUAAGUAACUAUGCACGUCUUGACGGUACCUAAUCAGAAAGCCACGGCUAACUACGUG